ACCGCCUGUAGAGCUGCGGGAGGUGGGAGCCCCUACCCCCACCCCUGUACCGUCACGGCCUCUGCCGCUGGGCGACGCUCCUCCUAGCCCGCUGUCGCCUGCAGCUCCAAGGGACGCCUUUCUGUCCCGGCUUUAGAGGUCCAUGAGCAAACGCUCCCGCGAUGCCACUGUUCUCACGACUCCCACUCCAGUAACCAGGUGGUUUGUGAGAGCCAAGAGGGAAGCCGGCAAGCGGGAGCCUAAAGUUAAGGCUUUCCGCCCGGGAUUUGCCACUGAGGUUUGUAACACGCACAAUUUGAGCAGAAAAGUUUUUGCAGUUGACCAGUAAUAAGCUGGGUAGCUUGAUCCGAUAGCACCAUUCUUACAUUAACGCGUGCCAAGGGUUUUUAAUGCGUGGGUUCUGCGAAACCGAAACACCUAACCGAGUGCUGGGGCCUCCAUUGUGUUACCCAUCCUAUCAUCGAAUUCGCUCACUAUACACCUGAUACUUUCUCUGUCUUUUCUCUGGGACAGCCAGAUGUUACUCCAUCUUAAAGAUCUCAUCAAGCUGUGAAUGUUUCUUUGAAAAACUGCAAGUCUAAAAUGGUGCAUACAGGCAAAAUAUGGAAAGAAAACUCAGGCAAGAUAACAGAGAAAAUGGACUAUGAACUAGUGACUGUGACCUCGGCCCUUGAGAAAGAGAAAAUAGACACGGAUAGACACACAUGAGGGAGUGAGAAUGCCAUGGGAAGAUGGAGACAGAGACUGAACGAUGUGUUGACCCGUCAAAGGAUGCCAACACCUGGCAGCAGCUACCAGGAGACAAUCCUGAAACAGACUUCCCUUCAGAGAUCCUGGUAGAAAGGAGCCUUGCCAACACCUUCCUCUUGGACCUCCAGCCUCCAGAGCGAGGUUCCAGCAGGCAUGCCAGCCUGUGGCUAGUGGGCUGCAUGCGGCCAAGGACAGAUAUGAACAUGCCCAAACACAAAACUAUAAAUUUGGGCCUGCAAGACGGAUCCAUGGAUUAACGUGCUUGUUGCGCAAACUUAAAGAUAUGAGUUUGAUGCCUGGAACUCACAGUGGAAGAAGAGAAACAACUCAGGCAUAUCUCUCUCUCUCUCUCUCUCUCUCUCUCUCUCUCUCUCUCUCUCUCUCUCUUUCUCUCUCUCUGUAUGUGUCUAUCUGUCUGUCUGUCUAUCUCUUUUUCUCUGACACACACACACAUACACACACACAAUCUUGCUCACUAAAUUAAAUAAUAAAAUGUAAAUCCCCACGGAAACAAGGCCCCGUAGCCAUACUAAGACUGACACACUUAUGAACUCGCAGAAAGUGUGGCCGCAUGCACAGGACCUGCACAGGUCUAAGCCAAAUGGGGUCCCAGUGCUAAGAGGGGGAGCAGACGCAAGCCCCCAUCUGUAACCCAGAAGCUAUUUCCAAUCGAUAACUACUUGCUAAGGAAAAAUUAGCUUUUGCCAAUGGAGUCUCACUGGGUCUACAAAGCACACUUAAGGGCAGGCUCUAUGCCAGCAGUAGAUGGCCAACACAGAAUAAACUCAAUAGUAUCUUGGGAGGGUUUU